ACUCCUACGGGAGGCAGCAGUAAGGAAUAUUGGACAAUGGGCGAAAGCCUGAUCCAGCCAUGCCGCGUGGUGGAUGACGGCCCUCCGGGUUGUAAACACCUUUUAUCUGGGGAUAAUGGUUUCCUAUACGGAAGCUUGCAGGUACCAGAUGAAUAAGCACCGGCUAACUACGUGCCAGCAGCCGCGGUAAUACGUAGGGUGCAAGCGUUGUCCGGAUUUAUUGGGUUUAAAGGGUGCGUAGGCGGCUGAUUAAGUUAGUGGUGAAAUCGUGAGGCUCAACCUCAUACCCGCCAUUGAUACUGAUCAGCUUGAGUAUGUUCGAGGAAGUUAGAACGCGUAGUGUAGCGGUGAAAUGCGUAGAGAUCUGAAGGAAUACCAGUGGCGAAGGCGGCCCCCUGGACAGAUACUGACACUCAGAUGCGAAAGCGUGGGGAGCAAACAGGAUUAGAUACCCUGGUAGGAUAGCGU
rnacentral:rRNA from 1 species